AGGGAUGUAGCUCAGUGGUAGAGCGCAUGCUUCGCAUGUAUGAGGUUCUGGGUUCAAACCCCAGUAUCUCCA